UACGUAGGGGCUAGCGUUAUCCGGAAUUACUGGGCGUAAAGGGUGCGUAGGUGGUUUCUUAAGUCAGAGGUGAAAGGCUACGGCUCAACCGUAGUAAGCCUUUGAAACUGGGAAACUUGAGUGCAGGAGAGGAGAGUGGAAUUCCUAGUGUAGCGGUGAGAUGCGUAGAUAUUAGGAGGAACACCAGUUGCGAAGGCGGCUCUCUGGACUGUAACUGACACUGAGGCACGAAAGCGUGGGGAGCAAACAGGAUUAGAUACCCUGGUAGUCCCUGA
rnacentral:rRNA from 1 species